rnacentral:rRNA from 1 species
AUACGGAGGGUGCAAGCGUUGUUCGGAAUCACUGGGCGUAAAGGGCGCGCAGGCGGUUUUACAAGUCAGAUGUGAAAGCCCACGGCUCAACCGUGGAAGUGCAUUUGAAACUGUAAGACUUGAGUAUCAGAGGGGAAGGUGGAAUUCCCGGUGUAGAGGUGAAAUUCGUAGAUAUCGGGAGGAAUACCGGUGGCGAAGGCGACUUUCUGGCUGAAUACUGACGCUGAGGCGCGAAAGCGUGGGGAGCAAACAGAAUUAGAAACCCUAGUAGUCC